rnacentral:misc_RNA from 1 species
UCUUCAUUGGUGGUCACGCUACUGCCAUUUCUUAUUCUUUCUUCAGCUAGUUCUUUGGUAGAGCGCUUCUGAUGUGCCAAAACAGCUUCUUCAAUACCAGUUGCACGCAGCACAUCUUCAUCUCUAACUGCAAUACCACAGCGAACAGUACACAGAUACUCACUGCUACACUGCAACUCAGAGGCAUAAUAUAUUUCAUAAACUCGAGAAGUACUUCGAACAUAACCCUGCCGCACCUCAUGUUUUUGAGCAAAAGUAACUGCAUUGC